GUCUACAGCCAUACCACCCUGAACACAUCUGAUCUUGACUGAUCUCAAAAGUAAGGAGGGUCGGGCCUGUUAAGUGCUUGGAUGGGAGAACAUUUUUAAAAAGUAUGUAAUCGUUUUUA
rnacentral:rRNA from 1 species